UACGAAGGGGGCUAGCGUUGCUCGGAAUUACUGGGCGUAAAGGGUGCGUAGGCGGCCGUGCAAGUCUGGCGUGAAAGCCCCGGGCUCAGCCCGGGAAGUGCGCUCGAAACUGCGCGGCUCGAGUGCCGGAGGGGAGAGUGGAAUUCCUGGUGUAGCGGUGAAAUGCGUAGAUAUCAGGAGGAAUACCGGUGGCGAAAGCGACUCUCUGGACGGCAACUGACGCUGAGGCACGAAAGCGUGGGGAGCAAACAGG
rnacentral:rRNA from 1 species